GAGCACGUAGGUGGGUUUGUAAGUCAGAUGUGAAAGCCUUCUGUUCAACGGAAGAAUUGCAUCUGAAACUGCGAGUCUUGAGUGUAGGAGGGGAGAAUGGAACUUCUGGUGGAGCGGUGAAAUGCGUAGAUAUCAGAAGGAACGCCGGCGGCGAAAGCGAUUCUCUGGCCUAUUACUGACACUCAGUGUGCGAAAGCUAGGGGAGCAAACGGGAUUAGAUACUCCGGUAGUCCUAGCCGUAAACGAUGGGCACUAAGUAGAGGGG
rnacentral:rRNA from 1 species